rnacentral:rRNA from 1 species
AUUCCGGUUGAUCCUGCCGGAGGCCAUUGCUAUCGGUGUCCGACUUAGCCAUGCGAGUUGUACGUAUAACGUAGCAAACUGCUCAGUAACACGUGGCCAAACUGCCCUAUGGACUGGGAUAACCUCGGGAAACUGAGGCUAAUCCCGGAUAGUACAUCCAGCCUGGAAGUGGCGGAUGUAUGAAACGCUCCGGCGCCAUAGGAUGUGGCUGCGGCCGAUUAGGUAGACGGUGGGGUAACGGCCCACCGUGCCGAUAAUCGGUACGGGUCAUGAGAGUGAGAGCCCGGAGACGGACUCUGAGACACGAGUCCGGGCCCUACGGGGCGCAGCAGGCGCGAAACCUUUACACUGCACGCCAGUGCGAUAGGGGGACACCGAGUGCGAGGGCAUAGAGCCCUCGCUUUUGUAGACCGUAAGGAGGUCUACGAAUAAGGGCUGGGCAAGACCGGUGCCAGCCGCCGCGGUAACACCGGCAGCCCAAGUGAUGGCCGAUAUUAUUGGGCCUAAAGCGUCCGUAGCUGGCCGCGCAAGUUCGUCGGGAAAUCCACUCGCUUAACGAGUGGGCGUCCGGCGAAAACUGUGCGGCUUGGGACCGGAAGAUCCAAGGGGUACGUCCGGGGUAGGAGUGAAAUCCCGUAAUCCUGGACGGACCACCGAUGGCGAAAGCACCUUGGAAGGACGGAUCCGACAGUGAGGGACGAAAGCUAGGGUCUCGAACCGGAUUAGAUACCCGGGUAGUCCUAGCCGUAAACGA